rnacentral:lncRNA from 1 species
UGCAUGAAAUUCGUAGAAAUUUAUCACCCAUUACUUCUAGUGUUGUUCCUUGUUGUUUUAAGUAUUUUUUAAGCUGUUUUGGAGUGUUUUAGUGUGUUUUGACAUAAAAAUCCGAAAAUUCAUAAAAAUUUGAAAAAUUGUUUUGAAAAUCCAAAAAAGAGUUGUUUUUGUGCGCUUAUUUGUGUCUUAGGGUACCUUCCAACACAAUGAUGAGGAUUCAGUUUGUAAUUGCAUGACUGUUAAAGAGAGUUAUAAACAUGGAUGAAAGUUUGAUUUACUCUUUAUUUAUGUGUGGUUGUGGUUAUAACUUAUGAAAUCACAUGUAAUCAUAAAAGAAAAAAUUAGUUUUUGUAACAUGCUUGAAGGAAAGAACUCAAACUAACGCUACAACCUUGUGAGACUUGAGCUUAAACGUUUAUUUGGAGAGUUAAAAUCUGUGCAUUCUUGUUUUCUAAAGUCGUUGCAUGAUCUCAUUAUUCUUUGCUUGGUUAUUACUUAGAAGGCGUUUCAUCAUUUAGUUCCAAAUGCUAGAACUCAUGCCUAUUUCAUUCAAAGCAUGCUAUUGAAUUGCAUAAAACAUAUUCAAGAUGAAGUUGUGUAGUUACCACCACCAAAGCCAAACUGCCAUGUAUCCCAUAUCGUUAUAUGUUUAAGUUAACCCCAUUGAGCUUUGAUAGCCUACAUUCUUUGUUAAACCACAUUAUCCUUACCUAGCCUAGUUUAGGACCAUCCAUACCCU